GUGGUCAGUGACAGCAGAUGCAUCUUUGACAGUGAGCCUCUGCUGUGCUUCCAAUACAGUUUCCUGCCUUGUUUUUUGCAGGAUCACUAAACAGAGCGUCUUGAGAAUUUGCCCAGAAUUUGCUUUUCUCUCUUUUAUGCCUCAUGUUGUUGUGGUUGAUGGCAGUGCCUGGAUGUGUGUGGGAGAGAGGAGAAAAUAGCACCUGUGCACUGGCCUCCUGGAGUGUGCUGUCCAUCAGCGGGAUGUUGUGUGCUGCUGUUGUUUAAGGUUGCCACGGUUCCACUUCCCCUGUCAAGGUGGAUGUUCGGCACUGUGGUGGAUGCUGGAUGUGAAUCCUGGAGCAGCGAAGUCAUCACUGUGGGCAUACAGAAGAGUGGGAGGAAGGACAAUAGAGUAUGUCUUGGCCCAUCAGAGGCGUCUGGCCGCCAGGACUCCUCUCAGCUCGCUCCCUGAAGACCUCUGGCUCCACAGAAACAGGAAAUGGUGAUAUGAAUGCAAGUGACGCUGGAAAUCAGAAAGAAUGGGGCCAGAGGUAAACAUGACCUUUGGGACAAGGGGAACAGCGGCCGUGCCAGCUGAACUCUUCCAACACCAAAGCAACUGGCCAUGUCUUCCUCUCUACAACAUGGCAUUGUCUUCACUGGGGCUUCCCUUCAGAAUGAGGAAAGUUUUUCGAGACAGAAGAUGAAUGGAAGUGGAAGAGUUCAGCGAAAUCUACUUUUGCUUAAAUCCUAUUCAUCUGCUGGGCACAAGGCAGGGUUGGACAGCAGCUCUGCUAGACCUGACUACAGGCCAUGCCUCCACCUGCUGUUCAGCUCUCGCUCUAUGCAGUCGCAGACCAGCAGCCUCUGUGGUUGUUGUGUUGGACUCCAAAAGGCUUCCAACACUGACCAGCUUCCACAAACGUGGUCAGAGGGCUUGUUGCACCGCUUUAACUCCUGCGCUAACUGCCUGGCUCGACAGAACCUCGACACUCUCUCUGACAGGGUAUUCAGUUACACCCAUGUAGUAGGAGUAGUGAUAUUAAAAUCUUUACAGAGCUAAAGUGCUUUUGUAUAGGAAGAAAUCAAGCAUGCUUAGCAUCAGAGCACAAAGCAAACUGACAAUUUUGCCAUUUCACUGCAUUUCCAAAGGUGCAGUGUUGUUUUCCUGGUAAGUACAUCAUUCUAUCCUGGUUGUUUUCAUUUGCAUGUGUGAAUUCUGGAAGGCUGCAUUAAGCAAUUCUUACUGUAAAAGAAUCUUUUCAGUUGAAACAUUUUUUUAGAAAAUCAUAAUUGUUUAAAUUAGUCCUGCGUUGUUUCUUGCUUUGGCGUUAUUUUUUCGUUUCAUUAUGAUCUAUUUUCUCAUGAUUACAACAAUUACCCUGUUCUCACAUGAAAUAUAUCACUUCAUCUUGGAUAUCAUCAAACUUUUUUUGUUGUUGUUGUUAUUUCACAAAACCAGCACAUUUCCUCUCACAUUAGCUUAAUAAGAAACUUAUAUAUGUCGUUAAAAUCAGAAAAAGAUCCCUCGUUGCCUGAAGAGGCAGUGUAGCCUUUGAUAAGCUUAUUACACUACAGGUCUGCUGAGACAUGUGGCGGAUGUCUGAGGAAGUUUCCUGAUACAACAAGAGAAAGUUUUGGUUUUUUUUGUUUUUUUUAGCAAAAACUGAAUAAUUUGGCAUCUAGUAAUGAGAAGAAAUUAUGACGUAAUAACAUAUAAAAUGUGGUAUGUCAUGAAAAGAUCUUGUUUACAUGAGAACUAACAAGUCUAUGAAUGCAUUUUUUUUGUCAUGGUGGCAGCUGUAUAGAAUAUUAACAGGAUUUGCAUUUAAUCAUAUGCAGUUAUUGGUUGACAACAAUGUAUUUUUAAGGCUUAGUAGUAGGAAGGUGUAUUGCAGAUGUUUAUAUUUGUAGAUUUAGAGUUCACAGAUAAGAAGAAAUUUAAUAUCAUGUAAUUUAAUUGUUGCUGGGAGGCAAAACCCUAAUACAUUGAUAACAAGUGAUAUAGACACACCGUGCAGUUGGAGGAAAAGGUAUUUAUCUGAGUGUGGCUCUUUUGCUGGCUGCCCUGCUCUCUGUCCCCUCUCUCACAUAGAUACUUAUCAGCUUUUAAAGGCGGCGAUUCACCCCUAUCACCCAUCAACAGCACCUUGCGACACACGCUGCCUCACCACUACAAAUCCCAUUACUUUUAUCCUUAGCUAAUACUGGGGUGCUGUUGCCUCCUGUCAGGGCCCACGGCACAAACAAUUUGCUUUCUUCCGCCUUCCAUUUCACAGAACUGCUCACGGUCAGAGCAACGGGGUAAGGCCGGUUAGGGAGAGCUGCAGGCCCUGCAAGAAUUGUCACACAAACUUUGAAAUGGCUGCCAGAGUUAAAGUAGCUUGAGGGCCAAAGAAUUUUAUUUCAGAGGAUGUGUCAAUGUCAUAUGACCGGCUUAGAGAGAGUCAAACAAACAAUAAACUGAGAAUAUACUGAUGACAGAAGAUGUUUGUUUUUGUUGCAAAUAUAAUAUGUCUGCAGAGAGACAUUAUUUGCUCUACUGUUUGCUCCUACUAUCUACAGCAGUAAUAUGUGCACACACACGCAAACACACGCAAACACACACACACACACACGCACCCACACACACACACACACACACACACACACACACACACACACACGCACACACACACACACGCACACACACACACACACACGCACACACACACACACACACACACACACACACACUACCCCAUCAUCCCUGAUGCGUCAGGGCUUGUUGUGUUCACUCUCGGCUCAGCUCCGCCUGCCUGACCCUUCUGACCCGAGUGCAUUCCUUUCUGAGGUGAUUGGCAGCCCAUGCAAAUACUGCACAACCAUGACUGGCAGUAAGAGCCACUCUGUGCCCUUCCCACAAUGCCCCUGGCCCCUCCCCGUCAAUAGACGCUGAGCUGGCGUCAUUGUCCAGAUACAGUGACCUUUUACCUCUCCAAAGUUAGCGCUUCCUGGGAACCACCCCAGAACUUUUCUCUGGUCCGUAUUGGAAUGUGUGACACGUAGGCAUGAUCUCUCUGUUUACCUCCUCUCUCUCCUUGCUAUCUCUGCGUUUUUCUUUUUCACUAUCUCUGUCUGUAUCCCUCUCCCCCUGGCAGUCCCAGCUGUGAACACAACAUAGUGGGGGAAUGUUUUUUAAAGCCCACUAAACAAUAUUAUAUUAGCAUAAAUUUGGUUCUGUUUCUCUGCCUUUCUGCGAUGUCACAGUCAGAUCUCUUUGCUUUAAGGAUUGAAAGGUAAACAGCUUUAGGUGUUGUUUGUGGGUUGGCUUUCCUUCUUGGCAUGACAAGGCCUUAGGGCACCAAAUGCAUUACAGCUCUAACUGUGUCAAAUCUCAGAGGGCUGGGAGGACCCCAGCCAACCUGUGUUCUCUAAUGUCACACACCAGCAGUAAGCCAAGUCAAUAAAAUGAACACCCAGUGAUCAAAGAGGUGACAAGGAUGCUCCUGACAGUGGGAUGAAAUUCCAAGUUUCUCUACGACACAACACAGCACAGUGAUGCAAACCCUUUGCAUACAUAUCUCCCCCUGCAGCAGUCUAUGUGAGUAGUAGUUGAAGGGCUUGGAGGUAUUUGGAUCAUUAAUAGAUCCCACUACUGAGCUGUUGUGCUCUACUGUACACUGCCUGGGAAUAUUCCCUAAUGAUUUCCACGGACCUCAAGCCCGCUCCUUUUCUCCUCCCAGCCAAAUCUGUUAUUCCUUUUGUUCAUUUGCCUUUUGUUCUUUCUCUUUAUAUAUUUCUUUUCCUUCUAUUUUGCUCCUAUUCUUUAAUUACUGUUCCCACCCAGUGAGAACCCUGUCUCUGUGGCCCCCCAUGUCCCAGGAGAAGCAGGGAGACGCGACCAUGUGGCUUCAGUGACAAUGACAUGAAUGGCCACGGUGGCAGGGCCACCUCUCUGAGGACCGGGACACUGAGGGAGGGAGGGGGCAGGGGAGGUGGAGGAGGAGAAAAGAUGGCGAGAAUGAAAAGGGGUGGGAAAGAUGAGCGCAGGGAGCCCCGGUUCAACCUCUUAUUUCUCUGUCUCUAUUCUCCGCGGUAGGGAAGGAAUUCUCAGUUCCCUGGGUGGUUUGAGACAGAAAGGUGGAAUGAGCAGAGGGGAGGGGUGGUGGUUUAAAUCAUGGAGGACAACAGGCAAACAAGAAGCAAAAACUUCCUGAAUUUCUAUCAGCACUUUAGCCUUGGUGAUGUAAUGGCUGUGCCCAGGAGGCCAAUAAAAGUUAAUGACAGAGAAUUAUUUAACCACCAGUCAAGCUGCAAAAAAAGACUUUGAAUCAGUACUUAUGGUGGUCAAGAAUUUAUUCCCAGCAAGCACUCCUAAUCCAUAAAAAGCAGUAUGGCACCCACUGAAUGGUGCUCCAAAGACAGCAAUGAUGAUGAUGACAUUCAUGAUUAAGAGCAUUUUAAUGAUGUUGAUAACGUGUAAUUCAUCUAGAACAACCUGUUCUGCAAAAAAUAUGCAGACCAUCAUAAAAAUAUGCAUCUUGCUGUGAGACUCUACCGACACGUACUGUAUAAGUGAUGAUGGUAUAGACACACACACAACUACGCCAAAGUCUAUAUUCCCUCCAAGAUGACAACUUAAUGCUGUCUCAGCCAAGGCAACAAGAUGAAAUCAGAUUGGCAGGAUAUCAUAAAAAUCCAGACUGAAAGUGAGCUCCUGAAAAUCUGUAGAAUAGAAUAAUUCACAUCUAAGCUUGAGAGGGAAAAGACACAGUCGUCAUCCCCCCACCACGCACACACACACACACACACACGCACACACACACACACACACACACACGCUAUCAUCCUCCCACCCCCACUCUCCAAACCACUGAUGCUAUUUACUGCCAACUAGUCCAUGUUCAUUCCGCACACCUCCACCAGAUAAUUUCUGUUUUAAUAAAAUCGCUUAAACAAUUAAUUACAGUCGCCUUUCCUCCCUCCAUACACCUCUCCUUUUGCCCCCCCCGCUCACACCCUCUGCCUCUCUCCCUCAUUCCCCUGUGUCGUAGGAGAUACAGGCGGUAAUAAAAAGACGUUUAUUGGACGAUUUUCUGGAGGCCCGUUGGUUAUUAACAUGUAAAUUAAAUCAUCACAGCUGUUCCAUUUUCAAUCAGAUGGAGUUUGAGGGAGGCGGGGCGCAGACGAGGACCCCGGUGCACUGAUUUUAUUACGCACACCUUCAUUAGGAGCCCUGCAGCCGCGAUCACCACCACCACAACAAUCCACCUCCUGACAUACACACACACACACACACACACACACACACACACACACACAAACAUGCAGGGAGGCAGGCGCCGACACACACAUCCUGAUAAUGCAAAAUGGUUUUACUAACAUGGAAGCUACUCCCACAUAAGCUCUGAUUCGCAAUCGUAUAACGGUCACUCACUGUUUUAAAUCCAUUUUUAUCAAUCGCAAGACUUGAAAUGAUACGGCUCUUCGCUUCUAAUCUACCAGGCUGCAUUUUUUGGAUUUUAUGUGGGAUGUUUUAGUUUCACCUUGUACAGCCAGCAGUAAUGACUGAUUGGUGACAGCCAAGUGCAUGCGCAGUAGAUCAAUACUUUUUCCAUGAUUGUUCCACUGAGUGGCUAUCUUGUCCUCUGAGCUCUUGCCCCAAACAUGAAAGGCGACAUGCUCUUAAAGACAAUGAUGCCUCACUGAUGGCUGUGGAAAAAAAGGCCUCGCGUCUUUGAGCAGAAAGCACUCAGACCCCUGCAGGCCUCUGGAGACGAGGCAGAUGAACGGCUGUAACUCAAAGAAAUUGUCAGAAAAUGCAGCAGAAGAUGGACUUUACCAAUGAUCAUUUUUCUAAUGCGUAUAUAUGUUUUAAAGGCCUCUGAGACGGACAAUCCCAUAAACGAGCAGUAUUUAAAAGCACGGGGCAGCAAGACUUGGGCUGUGAUGAGAUAUUGGUAAGCCCGUGUAGAAAGGUUAAUGUUACCCACAGAACGUGCUAAUGGUUUUGGUUUGACAAUGGCCUGUGGGGAGUGUAGUGGAAACCUCACAGAAGCUAACUCAUUGACACAUAAAUUGUACAUUUUCAACAAUUUCAUUAUCAUCUACACCAUUUUACUGUGACAUAUAUCAAUAGGAGUGAAGUGGAUGGUCUUAUUUUUCUUGCUUCCCCCCUUAACUCACGGGCCUGAGAGGAUAUUGAUCUUUCAUCUUUUCAGAGGAAGAAUCACAUUAUUGCCAAUGGAGGAUAAAGUGCCAUAGCCAUAUGGAAAUUAAAGCCUAGGAAGCGGUGGCAUGCAGCAAUAAAGUAAUGCAUGUCAAAACAUUAAUAGCAUUUAUCUUCCUGAAAUAAGUAUAGAUGGAGCAGCUGAUUUGCAACAAUAUAGCACAUAAAUAAUGUGUGUAGUGGGUUAAUGAAGCUAAAUGAACAGAUUACACUUGAAUUGAAUGCUGCACACUUAAAAUCUUCCCCAAAUUAGUAUCAUAUCUUAUGUUUUCUGCAGAUAAUGCAAAAUAUAUGCAAGGUACUACAAGAGACUGUAGUAAUAAACUGUCUCUGUGGAUGACACGUAAAAUAAUUAGAUUUUCCAAUUCAAAAAUAGGAAUAGAAAUGUCUAAACACUGAAUCUGAGAUUGCAUGGCAGAAUGAGGGAGGUGAGGUUUGUCUCUCGGUUCUGGGGAGUCAGACAGCAGCAUGUAUGGCUAGUGGUGAGAUAAUGGAUUGACCUCUAGUCUGCCCGUGCAGAGUGGCUGCAUUAUAGCAAAGCCAGUGUGAAUAAAAGAAAAGACGGUUAUUUUUAGCGCUCGAUUGAAAUGCUGAAGGAAUCUGCCACCGGGCUCAGAGUGCAGAGUUGUGAGGGAGAUAAGAUCACAGUGAAAGAAAGAAAAGAAAGAGAAAGGUAAAGAGAAAAAUUAGGCGAGCUGAAGGAGAAAGGAAAACAAGAAGUACGGGAACUUGUGGAUAUAAAAUUUUUACCAUUUCUGCACUGUCAGUAGUGCUGCUGUCUACAUUUAGAAAAAAAACAAUAGACAAAAUGCUAAAAGAAGACGCAUAAUUUACAUAAAUUAUAUAUUAAUCCAGAUUAAUUAGCAUAUAUAUUUGAAUUAGGAUUUGAAGGCUUUAAGGCCUAUUUUUGUUAUUCCACCAUGAUUUUAACCCCUGAUCACUCUGAAAAGCGGAUGUUAGCUUGUAUAUUCAACAUUAAUACAUUAUGCUAAUAGUGGCUAAUACUGAUAUGCAGAUUUACUUAAUUACUAAAUGGAUUUUGCCAUGCUUUGCCACAGAGAGUCAAGUAUGUUUGUUUUAGUUUCUGUUCAAAGAGGCUUACAGGAACUCACAUCCUCCAAUUAAUGCGAGAGGAUAAACUUUGCUGAAUUCUGGCCGGCUUCCCACUUCUUUGAAACAAUAAAAGCCCAUCCUACAUUUCCUCCUCAUCUUUAUGAUUAUUACCAUCCUGAGAACCAUCUACAUCACCGCUCUAAUUUGCCUCAUUAGUUACAGUAGUUAGGGUAACGAUGAUCCUCCUAUAAUAUGUCACCAAUCUUUAUGUAUAAUCCAGAAGAACUAUACAUGUCCGUGUCAAGCCCUAUUAGAAACAGAGAAAUAAUAUCUCUAUCGGUUGAAUAUAUCAACCUAGUAAACAGUGCAGUUUAUUGGCGCAGGCUGCUGUUUUAUGACUUAAUCUCCCAGAGUAACACAACUCGGCUACAGGUCAUAUUGGUUUAUUGUUGUGGCAUAAAAUAAUCAAUAGCAUGGAUGUUGGGAUGCUAUUGCAGGCCGGUUCUGGAUUGAUCUACGGAAGAUUUUGCAGCCUCCAAAAUGACAGGCUGAAUAUCACACGGAAAACCAUCACAAGCAGCAGUCUUAUGAUCAAGUGCUUCCCAGCAACCAGCAGCCAGGUUUGAGUGUUUGAAGAUUCUGUAGCCACACGGAUAGAAAAGAAAACUUGAAAACUGUAGUUCACCAUUUUAUAUACCGUUAUCCCCUCCUCGUGCUUGCAUCGCUGCCUCCCCAUUUUUUGUUAUUACUUUAGUCAAAGGUAGUUAGCCUACAGCCUUUGUGCAUAUGUAAAUGUGAUAAUGUCAGAUAGCUAUUUAUGGUGUUCCACCUUCAUCGUUUCUCACACAAGAAUCGCUGGCUGUGCCUCACAGGAGGAAAUGCAGCAAACUUAUUUACCCCAGAGGCACCUGAAUGUCUCCCCGCCUACCAACCACUGCCUCCACCAACUCAAGAAUCAGAGUAUACCCCCCCCCACCUCACCCAAUGAAGGCCCCCAUCUCUUGUCACAUGCAACAUUGCUUGUCUGUUAUAUUACAUUGAUCAAGGGGUGAUAAAUUGUAAUAAUUGGAUGUUAAAUUAAAGAGCUCUCUCCUAGUUCUUGCCAUCUCAAUUUUAAUUGUCAUUGGGUGGCAGUUAUGAUGAUGUAUGAGGGAUUGUGUUUUGCGCAGUGGAGCAUGACCCUGAUGAGUAAUGCUCCUUUUGGCUGCUUGGCAUCUCUCCAUUUCUCGGCCUUUGCUUUAAUACACACCGAUUGGAAUAUUAAGAAGACUUAGGGGUGGCGAAGGAGAGAGGAGAGAAGAGCGAGGGUAAGUCUGGCUUUGGGGUCUUGAGGGAGAGGAUUAAGGAAAAGCAACUUGCAAAAAUGUAUGCUUUGCUCUCUCCUUCAGUGUGUAUGUUUCUGUGCAGUGUGGUAUAUUGUACGUCCUACAACGCUUUGUAUCUGACUCCAAACAACUGUUCAGAGUCAGGCCAGUCUACUUGUCCCAUGCUGAACCGGCUGUGCUAUCACCUUUGCUGGGAGUGACAAAGAAGAGUACUUACCCCUUAUUAUGAGAACAUGAGGUCAAAGGCGCAGUCGCAUAUGACAGACACCUCCUCACUUCCUGACCCCUGUCACUUCUCAUCCAUAUGAACCGCUACCAUAGACUCCUUGUAGCAGACAAGGACACAAUGCUACUCAAGUAUAUCAUCCACAGAAUUCAUCCUCUGCAGCCUCUACACAAGGUCCUUUGUGAAGAAAAAACUGCUGUUUAGUCACAAAGGUGAAAAACUAAUAUUUAUUGUAAGAAUUAACAGCGUUGUAGAGAUGUGCAAUGGAUUGUUAACAAUUCCUGUAAAGGCUAAUGCAGCUUUUCAAUAGCUCACCAGUGUUUAACCUGUACUCUUUAGCUGACGAGCAAGCAUACAAAAAAUUAUUGUGGCUCUGCUAUAGCUGACAACAGAGAGUUACAAUUCAUAAAACUGUCACCUGCUCCAGCUCAAGCUCAAUAAAAGCUUACAGGAAAGAAAUGGCCGACACUAGAGUGGGAAAAAAAAGACUUGUUGGAACACGGCCAGACUCUCACAUUAAAGCAUGCAGACGAGGCUGAUACAAAAAUAAACCAGUUAAAAACUACACAAACAGUCUACAAGACAAAUCUAGCGCACAUAGAUAAAUAUACUCUGCUGCAGACACGUAAACAUGGCAACGCAAACAUCCCGGGACAUCCUUGGACGCAUUCACAAGCACUGUGUCUCAUCCUAAAUAAGCAAACACAGGCAGAGGUAGAUAGUGGAGAGUACGCCAGCAGUUCCUGCACCAGAGGAAGACGAUGGGUGCAGCCCAGGCAUCGAGACUCAAAGAGCAACAAGGCCGAGAGUAAAUAAAUACGCACGUACCUAGAGUACACACACACACACACACACACACACACACACACACACACACACACACACACACACACACACACACGUUUUCCCACAUGCUCACACUUUCUAAGCUAUCCUCCAAAGGCUAAUACGGCAGCAAAUUACCAUAUUCAACAGGCUCAUCUCCCUCUACUCAUUAGCAGAUAAACGAUAUGCCUAUAUUUAAAGAACUAUCACACAUUAGUGCCAUCAUGAAAUGUGUGCACGUGUGUGGGUGUGCAUGCAUCUGUAUGUCUCCCGUGCCACACACACACACACACACACACACACAAUUUUGUCUGUGUGUGUGUUUGUGUGUGGGUGAAUGUGCGUCUCUUAAUUCCACAAGAUCAUCCUCCAUCCAUCCUCUUCGUCUUUGUGUGUCCCCGUGCUGUGCUUGCUUUAGGAGAGUAUAUGCUCGUGUGUGUGUCUGUGUGUGGAGCUCCCUGGUGAUGUGGAGUCAGCUCAGUGAGCUGACAGUGGGGGGGGCAACACCAGCGCCGGCGAUUAGCAUGAGCUUCCAUGGGGCGCCGCGGUGGCUGCUGGGAAAUUCCGUCUUUGACGUGGACGUGUCUCUUCGUCGGAAAGUGACAACCCCCCGAGGCAUGAUGCACUUAGUCCAUUCUGAGAACCAGCUGCAUCUAAAUCUCCAGAGUAGAUACGUACUGUCCUACCUUCAUCACCAUCAUUGACUUAAUCACAAUCAUGCUUCUCUUCUCCUUCAUCUUCUCCUACAUCCUGACCAUUAAUUGGCAUUCCUUCAUCAAUCUCUUGAUUACUUCAGAGGCAGAUAUUAUUACAGUAUCAUUAUCAUCAGUGUUGAUGCUGCUGCUCACCAAACAGUUGUUAUCAGCUCGACAGUAAACACUUAAAUGGUGUUCAUCUUCAUUAGCAUAGAUCAUAGAAGUUAAGUAUAUAAAGAGAAUCUAAGUUUCUGUUCAUAUGGACUUCAGCUGCAGAUAGUUACCUUAUGAUUCAGCAAAGUCAGUGCUAGUGCUCAUAAGCAGUUUAUUUGAUCAGUGAUGACACCUUCCCUGAGGUACUUUAGCUGCCUUACUUGUCUGAAUGCACACAAGACUGACAGGUGCAGCUUGACGUAAAGCUUGUUCAGAUUUGACUCUUCGUAUGUGGUUGGCUGAUACAGAAACAUUCACAACUGAAUGCUCUGACCACUAAAGUACACAGCCAGUUGGCCCCGAAAGGUUCAGACGCUGUGCAACACCUGUCUCCUCUUCAUCUUACCCCCUCCUCCUUCCUCUUCCUCCUUCCAGCCUGUCAAGUCAAAGUGAACAGGAUGGUCUGACAUAAUGCAUUUCAUCAGAACGCUUUCUUUAACAUCAGAUAGCUGGUGGCUGUAAAGUGAGUGUGUUGUAGUCUUUAGGUAUAACAGCCAUAGCGGUUGUCAAAAUGUAAUCAAGAUUGGAUCCCCAGCUUCCUCUUACAUACAGUGUAAUGACCAUCAAUAUGUAAUUUUUCAUGCCACAGUUUAAUUCACUUCAAACACAAAUAUAUAUAUAUUUUUUUUAAAUGCUUUGCACUGGAUUCUACCUGAAAAAAAUGCAAAACAAAAACUACUUUCUAAAGUUUGUUCAUGUGGCCUGACCUGAAACUUUUACACAAAAGAAAAAGAAAACUUGAGGCUUUGACAAUAUUUCUUUGUUGUUGCUGUUGUUUGUUUGUUUUGGGGUUUAUUGAAAUAAAUGCAUAAUACAGAACAUAACUGUAUUUUUUCUUUAAAUACCCCCUACAGCAAAAUCAUAGUUGCUGUUUUUUUUUUUUGUUUUUUUUUUACCAUGUUAACAUGUCUACAUGGUGUUUAGAUUACUGAAAUAAACAUAAUGAAAAAAGAAAAAGUAAUUAACACUACGGCUGAGCAUUUUUAUCUUUAAACAGCUGAUGACAGUCUUAAAAACACACAUCUAGAGUGUCAUAUGUAACAAACUUGCCUAGCGGAUUUUUCCAUUAUUAUAGGUAAACUUGUGUGCUCAAGUUAUACAUUUUCCAUAGAAAAUUUUCUACACAUGUAAUGUUGAUACACAGAGAUGAGUGUUUAGGGGUUAAUCCAAUAACUGGAGAUAGAAUUUAGGGUUUAUUUGCUGUGGCUGGCUUUGUUUUCUUAAAGCUCUUCAACUGGGUUACUCUGUUAAGCCUGCUGACCCACUGUGUGUAAAAACUGUCUAUAAAAAUAAACUUGACUUGUUUUGCAAACUGACUGAGGUGUCAGAACACUUAAAAUCGCAGCUGUAAAUGAAGCGGAGUGCUCAGUGGUGGAAGAGCAGGAUGCACGCAAGAGUUGCAUGGAUGACAUAACCAUGCUAAUCUCUCUUUACGUUAUAUUCUGUUUGAUUUUCAGAUUUUUCGCUGGUUUUCUGGGCUCUCCUCGGGGCCUUCUGCUCAUGGGGGGGCUUGGGCCUUUGAUUGUUUCUUUGUUUUUCAUUAUGUUACUGCUCACACUCUUUUGCUGUCCUCCAGGUACGCUGCCACGCUAUGAUCACACGUGGAAUGAACAAUAUGCACGGGGGCUCCAACGUCUGGAAGAAUAUCCUGCAACGUCUCUUUGGAGGGAGAGACACAAAAAAAGUCUUUAUGAUUUGGAUGCUUUGGUAGUUUGCUAUCAUUUCAUAUUUCAUGAGGAUGGCCAGCCUUCCCUAGUGCCGACUGACAUGUGAGACCUCCCGGAUAGCUUUGACAAUCAUUGGUAUUAUCAAGCACUGUAGAUAGUGUUUUGUUCUGCAGCAUGAAGACAGAAAAAAACAUACGCCUGUUUAAUAUGUAAAAUAUCGUCCACAAACAUUAUUUGUGGCAGUAUUUUAUGGUCCGCUGUUGCUGGUCUGCCACGCUGAAAUAUGUAUAUUCCAUUGUUAAAUGUCAUUGGGGCUAUUAUUAAAUUAUUCAAUUCAAUUGUACAUGACACAUUUAAGCAUAUAUUUUAAUUAAAUAAUUGCGUAAUUAAUAUUGCAUUAGUGUGCUAAUGGAGUCACUGCAUUCAGUGACAAGAGUGCUCUGCCUAUAGGAACAAUUGUUUUAGUGCAGUUUUAGAAUGCAAUGCAAAUUAUAGUCAUUUCACUUAUUUUAUUUGUGAA